ACCCGCUGAAUUUAAGCAUAUAAGUAAGUGGUGGAAAUUAAACCAAAUGGGAUAUCUUUAGUAAUUGCGAAUGAACAAGGAUAUGCUUAGCUUGACAACUGGGGCUAUUGGCUUUGAAUUGUAUUGUGGAAAUGUAUUACCAACAGAGGUGCAGGUGCCAGCCUAUUGAAAUAAAGCGUCAAUGNGGGUGAGAAUCCUGUUUGUCAUGUGCAGCCCUUUGUGCACGGUGUAUAUUUGCUGAGUCACACUCCUUGGCAUUGGAAUGCAAAGUGGGUGGUAAGUUUCAUGUAAAGGUAAACAUGCAAUUGAGACUGAUAGCACACAAGUACCAUGAGGGAAAUAUGAAAAGGACUUUGAAAAGAGAAUUAAAUGAGUUUGUAUUUGCUGAACACAAAGUAAACAGACUUGAUUUGCUUGGUGGGAGUGUUGCACUUGCUUGACAAGAGCUUUGGGCUGUGGGUGUAAUGAUUCUUUCUUUGCAUGCCAGUUUCUAUUUGUACAUCUGAUUACCUUUGCACAUGAAUGAUAAGUCUCCUGUGGGGGGUGGAUUGCAUGUGCAUGUAAUGAUUUGUGUUUUGAUACAUGUGUCUGGUGUAUGUGUGUGUGUUCCUGUGCUUGGGGAUGCUUCCUUCCUUGGACUUACAAGCCCUGACACACACAUGCUGGCAAAAUGCUUCUGCUUGACCCGUCUUGAAACACGGACCAAGG
rnacentral:rRNA from 1 species